GUAUGUGAGGGCAAUCUGGCUGCAACAUCUGUCACCCCAUUGAUCACCAGGGUUGAUUUAGCUAAUCUAGCUGGCUAAGCGGGUGGUCUCUUCCUCCCUCACCACUCCAUGUAUGUCCCUCCUGAAGAGAAGACAACCACCCUGAUAGAGGAGAAUCAUUUCCUUGGUCAAGGGUAUAUGAGUAGCUGCACUCCCCUGCUAGAAUCUCCAAACAAGCUCUCAAGGAAGGGACCUAUUCCAUAUUACAUUUUUACUUCCCUCUCCUAGAUGGU
rfam:Heterocephalus glaber contig62314, whole genome shotgun sequence.